CCGGCCCGGCCGCGUCCGCCCCUCGGCGGGUGGGUUGGAGCCGCGCGGCCAAGGGAGCGCCCCGUGCUCGGAGUUCGGUGUGACCCGCUGGUGGGACGCGGGGCUCGCUCCCGGGCUCGGCGUUUUGGUGCCGCCGGUGACACGGAGGAAGCACCGGUUCAAAGAGGUUUUGAAAUGCCGUUCCCUGCUAGAACUGGAAUUGUAGAGCCUUGUAGUUGCACGGUUAAUCGAUCCCUUUCAGGGAAUCUACGUAGUGGUGAAGCUAUUUUGAUGUCAGAAGUGUCUGGACUCCCCAGCUUAGACUGUGUGAGCUAAGCAGGUAUUAAGGGACAAGCCCUGCCUAUGGAGCUUGAAUGGACAGGAGAAAAGAUGGAAGAAAGGAGAGGGAACAUGAGGUUUGUAAGACCUUGUUUAGAGAGGAUACUUGACAAAGUUCAGAUGAACUUCAAGAUAAAAAACAACUUAAAGCCGCUUAAAUUCUGGAUCUUAACUUUUAAUAAUAUACACUUUGAAUUAAUGAGUUCAAUACCUAACUGUUGUUCUUAGGCAAAUCCUUUAAUUGGAAAAAGGAUUUAAAAACCACUGGUUUCAGUACUUCUUUCUGCCAUCACUUAAAUCAUAUUUGAAUCUAAAGUAUAGCACAGCUGGACAGCAAGUAAUUCAAAGAAAGGUAGGACAGCUGAAGCACUUAAAAUUUCAGUUAAGCAACGCUUCAGAACAGCUAGAAAGAAUUAGCUUGGGAGUGUGGGGUUUUCCCACCAGACUCCAGCUUGCUGACAUAGACUUCUUGUUUUCCAAACUUCCAUGCAAGAAAAUCUCAUGCUAUAAAAGAAUAAAACCCUUAAGAAAAAAAAAA